ACCGUAGAUUUUAUACGUAUAAGGGAUCCUUAACCACACCUCCAUGUUUUGAAACUGUUCAAUGGAUAGCUCAUAAAUGUCCAAUAAAAGUAACACGCGAGGCAUUUAAAGCAUUAAGGAAUGUUCAGGAUUCUCACCAUGAUCCGCUGUCACACAUGGGAAUAAGAAGACCUCAACAG